rnacentral:rRNA from 1 species
UAUGGUGACUAUAGCGGUGGGGUACACCUCUUCCCAUUCCGAACAGAGAAGUUAAGCCCACCAGCGCCAAUGGUACUGCCGUAACAGGUGGGAGAGUAGGUCGUUGCCAACU